rnacentral:sRNA from 1 species
GACCACCCUGAAGGGCACCGCGAUCCCAGUGCGGUCGGUGGUGGCCUCCCCUCGCCAGGUGAAGGGGAAAGCGGGCCGGGAGACGGCCAGGCUGCGGCUCCAGCACCUGCCCGCGGCUCAGGCCGAGCACCCGGGAGAGGCGGCGGCGGCAGAGGAGGAGGAGCCCCUUCUGCCAGUGCCUGAGGAUGAAGAGGAGGCGCAGCCCCUGCCCCCAGUCUGCGUGUCCCGUAUGAGGGGGAUGUGGCGGGACGAGAAGGUGUCGCUGUAUUGCGACGAAGUGCUGCAGGACUGUAAGUACAGACGGGGUUUCUCCAGUUGGUCAGGGUGGACUCGAACUCCCGACCUCAGGCAGAAGAUGCUGAUGAAGUUAUGGGUAAAUACCUAUCAGAAAAAUUAAAGUUGAAAGACCAAUGGCUUGGAGUCUGGAAGACUAAUCCCAGUGUAUUCUUUGUGAAAUAUGAAGAAGCUUCUAUCCCUUUUGUUGGUAUACUGGUUGAGGUAACUUGUGAGCCAUACCAAGACUCAUCAUCUCGUUUCAAAGUUACCGUUUCUGUUGCUGAGCCCUUUUCUUCCAACAUUGCAAAUAUUCCAAGAGAUUUGGUUGAUGAGAUUUUGGAGGAACUGGAACACAGUGUGCCUCUUUUGGAAGUGUAUCCUGUUGAGGGACAAGAUACUGAUAUACAUGAUAUUGCUUUGGCCUUGGAAGUUGUCAGGUUUUUUUAUGACUUUCUUUGGAGAGACUGGGAUGAUGAAGAAAGUUGUGAGAAUUAUACUGCACUUAUUGAAGAAAGAAUUAAUUUGUAAGUAUAGUUUAUAAACUUAUACCGCACAUUAGAAAAAAUAAACAUUGUAAUUAUGUUGAUAAUUUUCAGGUGGUGUGAUAUACAGGAUGGAACAAUACCUGGUCCUAUCGCACAACGUUUUAAAAAAACUUUGGAGAAAUAUAAAAACAAACGUGUCGAGCUCAUUGAGUAUCAGAGCAAUAUUAAAGAAGAUCCAUCUGCAGCAGAGGCUGUUGAAUGCUGGAAAAAAUACUAUGAGAUAGUCAUGCUCUGUGGAUUAUUGAAAAUGUGGGAAGAUUUACGCCUCCGAGUUCAUGGACCUUUCUUUCCAAGAAUUCUGAGGCGUAGGAAAGGAAAAAGAGAAUUUGGAAAGACUAUAACACAUAUUGUAGCAAAAGUGAUGACUACUGAAAUGAUAAAGGAUUUAUCUUCAGACACACUUCUCCAACAGCAUGAUGAUUUGGAUUUGGCUUUGGAUAAUUGUUAUAGUGGAGAUACAGUAAUAAUUUUUCCAGGAGAAUAUCAAGCUGCAAAUCUUGCUUUGUUGACAGAUGACAUCAUUAUAAAGGGAGUUGGAAAGAGAGAGGAAAUUAUGAUUACUUCUGAACCUUCUCGUGACAGUUUUGUGGUGUCCAAAGCUGACAAUGUGAAACUAAUGCAUCUAUCUUUGAUACAACAAGGGACGGUUGAUGGUAUUGUGGUGGUGGAGUCUGGUCACAUGACUCUAGAAAACUGCAUAUUAAAAUGUGAAGGAACAGGAGUGUGUGUUCUUACUGGAGCUGCUUUGACAAUUACAGACAGUGAAAUAACUGGUGCCCAGGGUGCUGGUGUUGAACUGUAUCCUGGAAGCAUAGCUAUUUUGGAAAGAAAUGAAAUUCAUCACUGUAAUAACCUCAGAACCAGUGACAGUUCAAAAAGCACCUUAGGUGGAGUUAAUAUGAAGGUUCUUCCAGCACCCAAAUUGAAGAUGACUAAUAAUCAUAUUUAUAGCAACAAAGGCUAUGGAGUAAGCAUUCUUCAACCAAUGGAACAGUUUUUUAUCGUAGCAGAAGAAGCUCUCAACAAAAGGGCUUCUUCAGGAGAUAAAAAAGAUGAUAAAAUGCUCUUCAAAGUAAUGCAAAAUCUGAAUCUGGAAAUGAAUAAUAAUAAGAUAGAAGCAAACGUCAAGGGGGAUAUCAGAAUAGUCACAAGUUAAAGUGUCCGAAUUGAUGUUAAAGUUUUAUAUUUCACAAAUUUGUUUAAUAAAUGAUUCUCAUAUCCCACUGAAAUGGUAGUUUCAAUUCAAAGCUUAAUUAAAAAAUAUUUAAAUAUCA